rnacentral:lncRNA from 1 species
AUUGGUUUAUUAAUGUAAUAAUUUUUUUCUGAUGGAUUUCCGAAAUAGUUGGGGGCGAAAGCCCAUGUUUCAUUGUGCGUUGUCCAGGAUGGGUCAUUGACAGAAGCACCAACGUGCCCAUAAUAUACUUCGCAACAGCUCUCUGGAUUCAUUGAAAAAGUCAUAAGAGCUCGGAUGUCCUCUUUGUGUUACGCACCUGACUCAACGAAUGGUAUAUAUAUGGAUUCUCACUCACUGAUGAUGCUUUGUUCCUGACGUCGUCUCUGUUUUCUAUAAGCUAUGUUUCGAUGCCUCUGUUUUAUGUCUUUUGAUCUCUUGAAACAGGCCGACCCAAUCAUAUUUGCUGCCCAAAAUGA